AACGAACGCUGGCGGCAUGCCUAACACAUGCAAGUCGAACGAGACCUUCGGGUCUAGUGGCGCACGGGUGCGUAACGCGUGGGAACCUGCCCUUAGGUUCGGAAUAACGCCCCGAAAGGGGUGCUAAUACCGGAUAAUGUCUUCGGACCAAAGAUUUAUCGCCUUUGGGUGGGCCCGCGUUGGAUUAGCUAGUUGGUAGGGUAAAAGCCUACCAAGGGGACGAUCCAUAGCUGGUCUGAGAGGAUGAUCAGCCACACUGGGACUGAGACACGGCCCAGACUCCUACGGGAGGCAGCAGUGGGGAAUAUUGGACAAUGGGCGAAAGCAUGAUCCAGCAAUGCCGCGUGAGUGAUGAAGGCCUUAGGGUUGUAAAGCUCUUUUACCCGGGAUGAUAAUGACAGUACCGGGAGAAUAAGCUCCGGCUAACUCCGUG
rnacentral:rRNA from 1 species